rnacentral:lncRNA from 1 species
CUCAAUGUCCUUGAUCACUGUCAUAUAGUGCUCAUGGACAGACUAUCCUUUGUACAUCUUCAGGUUGAAGAGUCUCUUGAAUACUUCGAAGCGUGCAUUAUGGCUCUGCUCACCAUACAACUCUUGUAGGUGAGUAAUCAUGACCCGAACAGUGGGCAUAUACUCAUGCUGGCUUUACAACUUGUUUGACAUAGAUGCUAGUACAUAGCACUUGAUCCGACUAUCUUCAUCCAUCCACUUCUCAAAAGUA